AGCGUAGGCGGCGUGGUAAGUCAGAUGUGAAAUCCCGGGGCUCAACCCCGGAACUGCAUCCGAUACUGCCAUGCUAGAGGAUUGGAGAGGUAGCCGGAAUUCUUGGUGUAGCAGUGAAAUGCGUAGAGAUCAAGAGGAACACUCGUGGCGAAAGCGAGCUACUGGACAAUUCCUGACGCUGAGGCUCGAAGGCUAGGGUAGCGAAAG
rnacentral:rRNA from 1 species